rnacentral:lncRNA from 1 species
AAUUCAAUGAGAAACAAUAUUCAGGUCAGGUCAAAGCCUAGAGAAAAAUGCGCAUUCAGAAGUGGGCUGCCAUCCUGCUUUUUCUGAAGUGAACAGCUGCUGGGUAUUGAAACCAGCCCUCACGGUUGGGUCCCUGCCACCAUGGCAACACUCUGGUUUCUGAGCUGGAGUGGCCAAGGCACAAUGGGGUGGUUCCAUGGCCCAGAAGCACUCUAGCUACAGAUUAGAAUGAUGACAAGAGUAAUACCUUCCUAGUGAAGAUGACUUUUAUUUCAGGACUAUAUUAAGUUUCCCAACUUCUGUCAUGAUAUAGUCCAAAGAGAACCUGGACCACGCAGACAUCAAACAGAACAUGACACUGACCCAUUCUAUCAGUGACGUUGUGCUGAUUGCACAGGACAGAUGAGAGGCUCGUAUACUAGAAGUCUUGAUAACUUGUUUUCUAGUUUCACAUGUCCACAGAUGAAGAAAAAUUGUGCCCCAGCAAGGAUUAUACCCAGAGCCUCAUCCAUUCAUACCUGAUUUAGAUACUUAGAUGAUGAGUAAUAGAAAAGGUGGUUAUCAAACCUGGGUCAAAGUUGAAUCACCUGAGGAUCUUUUAGAACAUACACAGCCAGCUGGACCUGCCCUCAGCUACCUCAUCUCUCUCUGUGACCUAAUGACAGAAAAGCACAUGAUUCUCUUCACCUGACUUCAUAUAUGGGUCCAUGUCAUAUGAUACUUCAAAAUCUGUGAUUCCAUGAAGCCAAGAGUAGCUCUUCAACAGGAAAUGAAUGAGUGCUUCAGCUUCUGAUCCCAUUAGUAAGAAAAUACAGUCUUAUGAGCAAUGAUGGAGCUGCAUCUCUUAGGGGCAUUUGAUUCCCAAGAGACCAAAGAGCAAAGAGAAUGUCAAUUUAAAAAAAUCAAAUGUUUCCAUGACUUAGCUAUUUAACUGCUUUAAAAUGAAUGAAUGCUGCUUCAAGUUCUUUCAAAUACCCCACAUCUUGGCAACAACGAAAGGAAUUAACAUGAAGAAAAUUUACAAUCUUUCAUCACAUCGAACAAUGUCCCACAUUUGAAAAGUUCACAGCACAGAUUUCUGGUUACUGAAAGAAAGGAAAGACCUUCUUUGGAUUUGAAUAAACAGAUGGACUUUCUUCUCCUUUUUCUUAUAGUGCCCGAUUUGUGUAAAGGGAGGUGGGAAGAAAACAUCUUAGCUUAAAAGAGUGUCCUAUAAAAUAAAAGGUUUCAUACUU